rnacentral:tRNA from 1 species
GAGGCCGGAGCUCAGCUGGAUAGAGCGUCAGUUUCCUAAACUGUAGGUCGGAGGUUCAAAUCCUCUCGGUCUCACCA